UUUGCUUUGCUUCACCUCGACUCCAAGAAAGUAUGACAUUUGACCAAUAUCUGUCAUCUCAAAUUCAUUAGUCAUAACUUUCUUAAAAUCAUCAAACAUACCGGGAUUGUUUCCGGUAAAUAUCAUGUCGUCCACGUAUAAGCAAACGAUCAUAAUAUCUCCCCCUGAAUUUGUUUUCGUGUAGAGUGCAUGCUCAUAUGGACUCUUCACAAAACCAUUUUUCUGAAAAUACUCAUCAACCCUUGUGUUCCACACUCUCGGUGCCUGUUUUAGACCGUACAAUGCUUUCUUUAGCCGGUAGACUUUAUCUUCCUGGCCUUUCUGAACAUAUCCUGGAGGUUGCUCGAUGUAGACUUCUUCUUUGAGAUAACCAUUUAGAAAUGCCGACUUCACGUCCAUCUGAAAAAUCUUCCAUUGAUUCUGAGCGGCAAUUGCUGUGAGAAGUCUGAUGGUGUCAACUCGUGCAACUGGAGCAAACACCUCAUCAUAGUCAAUUCCGUAUCUUUGCUUGUAGCCUUUAGCCACCAACCUCGCCUUGUAUUUUUCCACUUCACCAUCUUGAUUUGUCUUUGUCUUAUAGACCCAUUUGACACCUAUUGCUUUGUGUCCUUCUGGAAGAUUUGUGAGCUCCCAAGUAUCAUUUUUCUUUAUUGCACCAAUUUCCUCAUCCAUGGCUUUGUUCCAUUUGCUUUCUUCGGAAGCUUCCUCAAAUGUAACUGGAUCACAUUUAACCAUUAAACAAAAUAACGAAUAAUCAAAUGUUGUUUGUACCGGACUUGUAGCUUCAUAAAUAUUAUCCAGACUCCGCAUUUUUCUUGGUGCUCCCCUUGAACUUCUGCUUCCACUUGAAUCAGAUGGUGGUGAUGCGGGAGUUUGUUGAUUCGGACUUUGUGGAGGAGUUUGAUCAUCAUCCUCGUCAGCUUCUAUGUUGGGGUCAUCAUUGCCAUCAUCAUCAUCAUUAAAAAAUAACCCAGCAACUUUUCUUUCCUCCCCGCUCCAUCUCCAGUAAUCUGAUUCAUCAAACUCAACAUCUCGAGAAAUGAUUAAUUUCUUCGUAAGGGGAUUAUAGAGUCUGUACGCCUUGCUCCUUUUGUCAUAUCCGGUAAAGAUGCACUUCUCGCCUUUAUCAUCCAACUUCUUCCUUUUCUGAUCUGGGACAUGGGCAUAUGCAAUACACCCAAAAAUUCUGAGAUGUCCCACUGAUGGUUUGCUACCACUCCAUGCUUCAUUUGGAGUUUUGUUUCUGACACUUUUUGUUGGACAUCGAUUCAACAAAUAAACGGCACAUAAAACGGCUUCGGCCCAAAAGGUUCUCGGCAAGUGCUUUGCUUUCACCAUGCUCCUUGCCAUGUCAAGAAUAGUGCGAUUCUUUCUUUCUGCAACGCCAUUUUGUUGAGGAGUAUAGGCCGUUGUCAACUGAUGAUUGAUUCCAUGUGCUCUGCAAAAACUUCUGAACAGAUUAGAAGUAUACUCGCCUCCUCUGUCUGAUCUGAGUACCUUCAAAUAAUGACCACUUUGCUUUUCUGCCAGUGCUUUGAACUCCUUGAAUUUAUCAAGAGCCUCCGACUUUUCUUUGAUGAUAUACACCCAACUUUUCCUGCUAAAAUCAUCAAUAAAUGUUAGGUAAUAUUUAUUACCUCCAAGUGAUGAGAUAUCAAAUGGACCAGCAAUAUCUGUGUGAACAAUCUCCAAUGGCCUCCUGGCUCUCCAUGAUUUUCCAACGGGAAAACUUUGUCGAUGUUGCUUCCCCUUUACACACGCUUCACACAAAUUUUCUGGUUCAUAGAUUUCUGGCAAGCCGUUCACCAUCUUUGUCUUUGACAAUAGUUUCAAGCCAGAAAAUCCAAGAUGACCAUAUUUCAAGUGCCACAACCACGAGUCAUUUUUAAUGACCGACUUUAAGCACUUUUGCACCUUCGUUUGCAUAUCAAGCGUAAACAAACGAUUCUUUGACAUCUCCACAUUUGCAAUCAAUUCCCGAGCUUGAUUUCUCAUAAUGAGGGAAUUGUCCUGCAUCUGUAUAUUAUAUCCUUUCUCCACUAGUUGGCCAAGACUGAUAAUAUUAUUUUUCAAUGCAGGAAUAUAAUAAACAUCAUUUAUAUAUUUCUUUUCACCUUUCUUUGUCAUGAUCGUGACGGUACCUUUUCCUUUGACCGGAAUCUUUGACGAGUCACCAAAAGUAACUUCUCCGCUGAUGGUGUCGUCUAUCUCCGUGAAUAAUUCCUUAUGACCAGUCAUGUGAUUGCUGGCUCCCGAGUCAAGAUACCAUGUAUUUUUCUUGCCUCCUUCAUCUCCUUUGUAAGUGAGAAACAUAGCAGAGCCAACAUCUUUAUCUUCUUUUGCUUCAGCAAAAUGACUUCUUUCUUCCACCUUUGGUGCUCUACACUCAUAACUGAAAUGACCAUAUUUAUUACAGUUAUAGCACUGAUAUUGAGACUUAUCACCUCGUUGUUGAUAUCCGCCUCGUCCUCGGCCUCUAAAAUUUUGACCACGACCAGAUGGCUGAUAGCCUUCAGAAUUCUGGCCUCUAUUAAAGGACUGCCUUCCUCGUCCUCGUCCACCACGGUAGCCACCUCUAAAGCCACCUCUGCCACGUGCAGAACUGCUACUGCCAGAACUGUCACCAAUGGACACCUUACUUUGCAACGCCUUUUCCAAAUGGCUUGCAUCAUCAUACUGGUUCAUUCGCUGCUCGUGGGCUUGAAGAGAACCUACGAGUUCAUCAAUAGAAAUUGUGGACAAGUCUUUUGACUCCUCGAUGGAUGUCACAACAUAAUCAAAUUUCCUUGUUAAUGAACGGAGCAACUUUUCCAUGACCCGAACAUCAUCGAGACUUUCUCCAUUUCUUUUCAUCUCAUUUGUCACCGUUUUCAAACGCGUAACAAAUUCACCAAUAUUUUCGGAACUCUUCAUCUUCAAAUUUUCGAACUCCCCACGUAGAAUUUGGAGCCGAACCUUUUUGACUUUCUCGACACCCUGGAAUGAUUUCUGCAGAAUCUCCCACGCGUCUUUCGCCGUUUUUGCAUUUGAAAUUUUUUCAAAGGUUGAUUCAUCAACUCCUUGAAUAAUUGUAUAUAACGCCCUUUGGUCUUUUUUCUUGGAUUCUUUUAACGCCGUUUUCUCCGCAUCAGAAAGAACAGCUUCAUCCUCGGGCUUGUCAUACCCACUUUCGACAAUAUCCCAAUUGUCGUAUGAACCGAGUAAUACCUUCAUUUGGAUACUCCAGUUCCCGUAAUUUGUUGCCGUCAACAUCGGGAUUUGUGGUUGCGCCAUCAUAUUUGACAUUGUUUCUUCUCCGAAAUAACCUAGCUCUGAUGCCACUUGUUGGAAACGUGAAUGGGUUCAAACUUUAUCAACUUUAUAAAUUUAAAAUACUCACACCUGUAUAAUAAACAAACACUACAACUUUUAUAACGCAAACUCAAAGCUACAGCUUUUAUAUUUCUAUUACAACACAGGGCUACGGCCUUUCUUUCAAACUAGAGCUUCAGCUCUUACAAUUUCUCUCUCUGCUGUUUGUAUUUUUAUUUUCACUCGGUUAUCUCUUAACAUGCAUGCACACCAGUAUUUAUAGUAUAUAUAAUUUACCUGCUGUCCCAAUCCCUUACGUAAACAAGCUGGAUAGUCACCUUUUUUCUAGCGCUUCAUUAAUUAUACAUGACCAGCUAGCUGUGUUGCUUUUCUGUUUAUAUGUGUAGCCUACCUUAUUUGCAGGAUUCAAACAUGACUACUCUACCUGGGUUCAUUGACAGCUGCUGCAUGUGAAGCUUCUAUACUGCCACGUUCAUUCUUCCUUUAUUGUUCCACAUAUUUGACUCUGGAUAAUAACAACAGUUUGACAAAUUUACCGCAGCACACCAUUUUUCCUGGAAUUGCAUGGCUGUGCAUAAUUACUGUGUUCACUUUCUUUUUCCAUGUUACUUCAUUUAUAAACCCAGCUGUUAGUAUCCAUCUGCUUUAAUACUCUAGCUGCAGCUUUUGUUGACCGAAGAGUUUGAACUCUAACAAGAAACACAUUUAGGAUUGCUAACUUUGUGUGCUACUGAGAAAUACACAAAUGUUAUCCGAGCAGUAAUUGUGUCAAUGCUAUCUUUGGUAAGCCUUGUUUUUAGCUUCCGUUAUUGUAUUCGAGCAAUGCAGGCACAAUCCACACUCACAAUACAGUCAUGCUAAGUAGCAAUGUCCAAUAUAUAGAACCAGGCACCUGUAUUUUGCUUGAUUCAUAAUCCCCAAACAUAAUAGAACAGUACAUAUCUCACAAAUAAUACUACACUUUUCUAAUCAAAAAACAUAACUGCCGUCCCCAAAUUAUGAAAAUCACAGAGUCACUAUGGAAUAUGGCCGGUAAAUGCAAGGCUGAAAAACUAAUAAGACAUAUAUAAGAAUAUCUUCUUUAUCAGAGACUAGUGAUCAGUAGACAUCAGUAGCACGAGUUUCAGUAAACGGAAAAAGUUAAAGAUAGAAGCUAAAUAAAUAGUUGUCAUACAUCAUAGACAUUCACAAUAAUUACGUCAACUUAUGCUAAGAAACAUUGGAUUACCCCACAUGGUUUAUCUUAAGGUCUGAUAAAAUGAGGGAAAUUACUAUUGGAGGAAUACAACUAUUGACAAAAUCAGUUCCAUAAUUAACCACCAAAGUCAGCAUAUAUCCCAAGUAGACCACUACAAGAAAAUUCAUUUUUAAUGACAGAAAUUCCGUUGGCAGAAUAGGGAUUUCCGUUGGUAAAUCACCUUGCCAACGGAAUGAUGACGAAAACAAUGUGUUGGCAUAUAGCCCGUCGGGAAGUUCAUGCUAACAGAACAAAUUCGUUACUAAAUUUACUAACGGAAUACCGACACACUAAUAAUAGAUUUCUGAGUUUUUACAAUAACAAUGUUACAACGAACAUGCCAACGGAAUAUUUGGUUAGUAUUGUUAGUAACAUUUUCACAACGAAAUUUUGUUGGUAUAUUUAGUAACAAAAAUUCUGUUGGUACAUUUGGUAACAGAAUUGCAAACGAAAUUAUGUUAGUACAUUUAGUAAAAGAAGUGCUAACAGACAUGUUACCAACACUUUGCCAACCAUUUUAUUACCAAAUUCCCAGCACUUUACCAAUAGAAUUUUAAUUAUUUCCAGUAUAAACACCACAAAUAUAAUGUUUCCAAGGACCGUACAUUAUAAGAUAUUUAAAGAAUAUAAAGAAAUAGCAAGAACAAAUGUAUAAUAAUCUCCAGAUUGAGCGGAAACACGUCCAGAUUGCAGAUGAUGCUAAGAUUGAGCUUGUAUUUGACGUCCACAUUGAGCAGGUAACCACUGUCCAGAUUGAGCUAGUAACCGUUGUCCAGACUGAACAGGUAGCCUCUGUACAGAUUGACCUGAUAUAUUUUCAGCAUUAUUCCUCAACUUCUCUUGUUUGAAAUAUAAAAGAUAAUGGAUUAUCGGGCAAGAUAACACUAAAAAUUAAAUAAAACCAUAAUGCAAGGUGUUCAAUGCCAUUUUAAUGCAGUUGUGUGCCAUGGAUAAUGAUGAAAACCAUAAUAUAGUGUUUAUUUGAAAACGCAUGGCUACAUGAUAUGUGAAAAUAGAUUUAUCAUUCUUGUCUCAACCUUCUGACUUAGAACUAAUAUUCACUUAUGCAAUAGUUACAUUUCAACAGUCUGCCAAAAUUAACAUCCAUUCUUCAAAAUCAUAAAAAAAAAAAAACAUUCAGCUCUUACUGCCAAUGUCCUAACAGUACAGAGCUCUAAAAAAAUGCAAUACUGCCAAGAUUUAAGGACUGAAAAUAGUCUACAUUUAAAGUCCUCUGUCACAGAAAUUAAGAUUAUAAUGAAAAUAUAGUCAACUUAAAUGACUUACUUGGUCGGAGUAAUUGGCAUUGUCUAUGGUUGUCUUGGUGAACUCAGUCGCCUUUCUACUUUCGAUCUGAUUAUUAGAGGUAAAGCCAUCUUUGUCAACAAUUACAGUCAAAUUGAGUUUCUUUUUACAGACAAACUGCAAUAUAAUAAUUCGAUCAUAUGAUUAGUAAUACUUAGUCAUUCUAAAAGUGCAAGUCGAUUACCUCAAUGCACAGCCUUAUUAAAAAGACAAUACAUACCUUAUUAUUUAACUCAACUGGACAUAAUGAAUGAUAAAUGAUAGAAAUAAAAUAAUCAAAUAAGUAAAGAAUUAGACUGAAGUUCUAUAUACUGAAUAUAUAUAAAAGGUAGACUCACUAAAAUCUCAAGUCCUAUAACAAUGUGAAGUUCUUACAAGUUCAUAUGUUUGAGCACACAAAACUAUAUAAAAGAGAGCUCAUAAAAAGUCAGGUCACAGGUCUGAAAAAACUGUGUAAAAAUCUCGAAGCUUAGAAUCCAGAGUGUGAACAUAAUAAGAUCACUACUUUGACCGUCAUUCACUAGUCUCUUGAUUUCAAGCACAUAUUGAGUGUCAUCCAUUUAUUCAAGAGAAUUCUCUAACUAAAGAAAUAACAGAGAAAAAGUGCAUGCAGCAAAACCCAACUGUAAGGACCAUGAAGCGGCUCCCAUAUAGCAAAAUCCAACUGUAAAUAUGCAUUGAGUUUUCCAAACAAUGAUUCAAAUAGUGCAUGUGGAAGCAAAUGGUAAUCAGCAGAUAAUGGACAAUCCACACAUUUAUAUCACAUGUCUUUAGUACACAUGUAAAUGAAGAUGCAUUACAAGAAAAAUCAUUUUUAAUGAAUUUAAAUGGUAAUCAGCAGAUAAUUACCAGAGAAUCUUCUUGGCUUGGCUGGUAGACUCCAUAGCUGAUCUGUAGCUAUUAUACACUGGAUCGUUAGAAGCUUGGUAAGUAAGAACUCAACACAAUGAAUACUAUACUUUUGAAGCAAAUAAGUCAGUUCGAAAAAUUAUAAGUCACAAAGAAAAACUCAAACUGGUUCACAUUUAUAACUAAUAUAAAACCAAAGAGUCAGUUGGUCAGCUCUCAUGUUAACACCAUAUUGUGUGGAAUCUGACUUCUGCAUCUAGAAAUCAAUCUUAAAUUAACAAUCUGUUUUCAAUAAGAAAUUCAGACCCAAUUAACUCUUUUUCUAUCUCGCCUCUCUCUAUCUCUGUAACUCUUUUUUUCCUCUGUCCAUCUCUCAAUUUUUCUAUUCUUUCUUCUCUCCAUUUCUCAGUUCUCUCCUUCGCUAUAGCCCACACUCUCUUUCCCCCUCUGUUACCGUCUCUCUCUCGCUCUCUAUUCUUCUCUCAUACUGAAUGUUUGAGUCUCUAUUACUAUCUCUCUCCACAUAAAACAAAAUCAAAAUAAUAUACAAAGAAUACAUGAAUGUAAACCAAAUCAACAUCAAUUAAAAUUGGAAGCACAGUGACACGAUUUACCUUAGAUUGAAAGCCCCAAUUGAAAAACCCUAAUCAUCUGCAAAACAAAGACUUAAACCCAAUUAGUAGAAAUAAUAAAAUUAGAUGGCAAUAGUUCAACUUAGUAACAAUUAGUAGAAAACCAUGAACGAAUAUUUAGUUAGAUGUGAAAACGCAGAGUAGAGAUGUUAGAGUAGAGACGGGAGAGGUGAGAGCGGAGAGGCAGGUCAGAGUAGAGAGGAGAGAGAGAGAGUAGGAGGGAGUGAAUUAUAUUUUUGGUGGGAAUUUUGCCGCUCAUCUUUUCACGCCAAGAAAGUGAUACUUUCUUUUUUUAAUUAUUAUUAUUUUCAUAUUUUUAAUAAAUUAGAAUCAUCAUAAAAUAGUAUUUAUAUUUAUAUUUAAAAUUAUUAGAUUUUGUAAUAUGUUAUAUUAAAUAAAAUAAGCACAUAAUGUAAUUUAUUAUAUAUUAUACAUUAAAAUAAAAAUUAUACAUUAUAAGUUUAGACAAUAAAAGGCCUUCUUUUAAUAUUUUAAUAAAGUUUAAGUAAUUUUACCAUAUUUAAUUAAAAAUCAAGUUAUAAUAACAAUUGUAUGGUUGGAUUGUCUAAAAGAAUUUUAAAAAAAAUAAUUUCAUGUUUCAGGUAAGUAUUCGAUUAAAGACUAAGCAACUUGACCACAUUUGACUACAAAAUUCACACACCAAAUAAAAGGCUAAAUUUUUUUAAAUUUUUUUUUAAUCAAUAUUAUCAUGUUACAAUAACAUUCGUACGGUUAGAUCGUCCAAAAUGAUUUUCUAAGAAAUAGUUUUAUGUUUUGGGUAAGAUUUUCAUUAAAGGCUAAGUAAUUUAAUUGCAUUUGACUACAAAAUUCACACACCAAAUAAAAGACAUAUUUUUUAAAAUUUAUAUUAAUCAAUAUUAACAUGUUACAAUAACAUUCGUACGGUUAGAUCGUCCAAAAUGAUUUUCUAAGAAAUAGUUUUAUGUUUUGGGUAAGAUUUUCAUUAAAGGCUAAGUAAUUUAAUUGCAUUUGACUACAAAAUCCACAUAGCAAAUAAAAGGCUAUCAUUUAAAAAAAUUUAAUAUGUAUUAUCACAUUACAAUAAUAUCUGUACAGUUGGAACGUCCAAAAUAAAUAUUUAAAAAAUAGUUUUAUGUUUCUGGUAGGUAUUCGAUCAAAGGCUAAGUAAAUUGACCGCAUUUGACUACAAAAUCCACGUACUUAAUAAAAGGCUAAUUUUUUUAAAAAAGAAUUCAAUAUAAUAUUUCUAGUUAAGAACGUAAUAUAAAAUUUCUAAUUAAGAAUGUGCCAAUUAAAAAUUAUGUUACAUAUAUAAAUUCAGGAGAUUUAUUUAAUAUUAAAAAUACAAAUCUAAGUCCAUUAUAUUAUUGGACUUUUUUUACAACCCAAAUCAAUUUAAUCAACUAAAGCCCUUUGGGCUUUAGCAUUACACACAUGUCAACUAAGCCACUAGCAUAAUAUUCGGGUAUGUGCUCUUGUAGCGAAUAUUAAUUGCCAUCUAAAACUAAUAACCAAUUACUAACGGAAUUAUUAGUAUUUACCAACGGAAUAUCAACGAACCUAACAACAGAUGCUUUGGUCGCUAGUCUGUUGCUCAUUCCUUGGUCUUUUGUUACUAUUCUGUUACGUGGCUAUAUUUCGUAACAGAACGUUUCGUUGGUAUAUAAACGUAGUUAUUUGGUUGCGAAUUGGUUGGCAGAGCAUUGAUUAGUUAACUCGUUACAAAUCCGUUGGGAACUACCAACGGACUAAUUUCCCUUAGCAAUUUCCGUUGGUAAAAGCGCUUUCUCUUGUAGUGGACGCAAGACAGCAAUAAAUCAUGGAAUUUGAUACAAAAACUCAAUUCUAAUAAAAUUAAUAGGAAACAUCAGUUAUUACAUCAAAAGAAAUUCUAAUUAAAGUUUCAAAACAUAAUAAAAUUAAAUGUCACAAUUAACCAGAAUUAUAUUAAGCAAAGACAUUUAACUUAAACCACAAGGACCACAUUAUUUCCGACAUCACUUCCCUCUUCUUGUUGCUCACACUUUAGCCUGAGUUGGAUGUUGCACCCUAAUCAUCAUGACUUUUAAUUAUCAUCAUCAGUUGAGAUACUUUCUUCAUCCUUUUCCACAUUGUAGUCCCACUCAAGUUGCAGCUGCCUCCAAGGUGAAGCAGUCCACUUGACUGGUUUGGACCCUGCAACUGGAAAAAGGCUCUUUUUAUGGUUGAAAAUCUCCCAGGAGGUAGUACGGCGAAGAUUUGUCGGCGCUUGCUUGUAGGGGUUAUAAAGAAACCGGUUGUAUCUAUAAUCAACCAGUAAGAACUCAACGCUAUUGAAAAUUCCCUGAGGACGAUGAAAAUGCUGAUAACCUACAUCAAAACUGAGCUUCAUAGUCCACGAUGCCUCUACUCCACCACCACUAAGGCAUGCUUCAUCAUCCAAUGUCCACAAUUUCACCUUAUUUUCAGAUCGUUCGCACAUCAUAACAGCAAUCGAAUCAUAAUAUUCAGCAAUGCAAGUGUCUUCAGGAUCUACAGGGAGCUUAAUAUCAUAAAUUAAUACCUCCUUGUUUAGAUCAAAAGCCAUCAUUCCUUUAUGUCCCGUUGUUAACAAAAAUCCGUGCAAGCAUACUUCUAACGUUACAAAGGGAACAUCAAUGGGCAGAAUUUGCUUAAUUGGAUACAUCUUUCGCCAAGCAUUCCUGUUUGAAGAAUACACUGAAGUAGAGGAGGAUACAAUUUCAACAACUUUACAAUCAAAAUCUUUCUGAUCAAAACCAAAGCCUAUAAUCUGCUGCUUUAAGAGGCGACCUUCGGCUUGAGAGGGAAUUAGUUUGGAGAGUUUUGUAGCAGGGUUCCAAAGGUAAAUAUCAUAUCUCCUUCCAUGCUCAACAAGAACACAAACAAUGCCACAAAUUAGAACCCAAAAUUCUAGAAGAUGUUGGUCCAUAAGAAUAGUAACCUUCAGAGUAAGGACAGUCGAGUUGUUCUAAAACGUCGCCAGAAGUGAGGUGGGUGAGUGAAAAAGGGCCCCAGCCAUGUAGUUCAAGAUUUACUGAAUGAUGAACGAUAAGAGUUUCAUCAUCCUCCCCACUUGAGAUUGAGCGACGGAGAUGAUCUGUGACGAAACGACGGCUCGAAAUGUUGGACAGCCAGGAUUUGCAAACACACUUGGAUGCAAGUAGAUCCUUCACCGGAAGGCGGAGGAAAAUCUCAAACCAGAGGUCAUCUGUUAAAUUGCUCAUCGCUAUUUCCGGACUUCUUUUCCUCCUAUUAUGAUUUUCUUCCUGUGGGAAUGAUGGGAGAGUUGACGAAGAUUUAUCACUGUUAUUUUUCGUAAAUACCCAAGUCUAAAUGAAUUUUUGUAAAAAUACUAUCAUUAACUAAAACAAAUUGUAAAAAUACUAUCUUUCAAAAAAUAUUUGCAAAAAUACGAAGAUUGCAUUUGCAAUUACAUCUGUAACUACUGGCAACCAUAUAAGCAACCACAAAUGCAACUUGAAAAAUCUAUUGAAAAGUAUAUCUAUUUGAAUAAUAAGUUGCAACUGAUGGUAAAGAUAGAGAAAUGAAUGCCCCUUUGGGGCCAAUACUAAUAACUCCAAAAUAAUCAAAAAAAAAAUAAAAUCAACAAGCAUUGCAACAAAAAAAUCAACUAAAGCAACAAAUUAGAAAUCAACUCAAAAGCAACCAACUAAAACAAACAAGAAAAGAACUCAAAGCAACCAGCCAAGACUUACGGUCCAUCUCUCUUUCUUGAUUUUCCUUCUGCCUCCUCCGCCUAAGCAACUACAAAAUCAAAAACAACAAUCAGUGCAACCAGCAAUCAAUCUCAUCAAUUUUUUUGAUUCAAUCUUUGAUUUACCCAAAAUCUGAAAUCCUAAUUAAUCAAAAAUUCAUCUUAUUAAUUGAAAGUUCGAGAGAAAGGGAGAGAAGACGUGAAGAGAGACAACGAGAUAUAGGGAGAAGGUGAAGAGAGCGAGGAUAAAGAGAAAGAGGGAGAUAAAGAAAGCACCGAGAUAGAGGUAGAUGAGGGAGAAAUGAAGACAAAGACACUUUUUAUUUCACCAACUCAAAGCUACAGCUUGAUUAGAGCUUCGGCUCUUCUGUUUUCUUUUCUGGUUUUCAAACUCAGUACAAUUCAGUUUAUUGAACACAAAUAGAACCUCUAUUUAUAAGCCACGCAUAUGCUAACUCAUCUUAUUGCCUACACUACCCAGCUGUAUGUAUUAAUUUAGCCACCUUAAUUCAUGGGAUCAAAUUUCUAUUCAAACUAGGACAGCAACAUUUCUUCAGAUGAUCUACACGGUUUCAUUAAUACAUCUGACUUGCAUGUUGACAACUCCACAAUUCAAACCAAGCUGCUGCAUCACCACUUUAUCACCUGCUUGUCACCAGCUUGUCACCUUUGUAAAUAGCCUACCAUAUAUCCUGGAUUCAACAUAUGACCAGCUGCUGCAUUAACUAGUAUUCCUUGUUUCACAUGGCUGCCUUCCUUUAAUUAAUCUAGCAUAGUUAUACAUCCUGUCAACAUUGAGCCGUAUUGUUUUGACCGUGCAUGCAUGAAGAUAAGUAGCACACCAUAAUUCCACGAUGGCUCAUGUCAAGCUGAUAUUAUAUUCUGGAGAGUUUGAAAAAUCUAACACUCCCCCUUAAACUCGACUUUGCAUUCCGAGCUUCUUUUUCAUUUUCUGAAACACAUCUUGCUUCAAUGACUUUGUAAAAAUAUCUGCUAGAUUUUCUUCUGUCCUGCAGUGCACCAAUUCCACGAUUUUAUCGUUCACUUGUUCACGAAGAAAAUGAUAUUUAAUCUUGAUGUGCUUGCUUCGACUAUGUGACACCGGAUUUUUCGCAAGUGAAAUAGUGGAUUUAUUAUCCACAUAAAUAGUAACCGGUUCUUCUUUGACAAGAUUUAACUCGCCCAAAAUAUAGCUUAACCAAAUAGCCUGACAUGCGCACGCUGCUGCUGCGAUGUAUUCUACCUCACAUGUUGAGAGAGCGACUGUUUGUUGCUUCUUUGAUGACCAUGAAAAUAUUGCUGAGCCAAUAUGAAAAGCAUAUCCCGAAGUGCUUUUCCCAUCAUCUAAAUAUCCACCGUAAUCACUAUCUGAGUAGCCAACUAAUUUUGAAUCUUGAGAAUGCGUGUAAAACAAACCAUUAUUAAGUGUACCUUUAAUAUAUCUCAAAAUUCUUUUAGCUUCCAUGAAAUGAUCCUGCUUCGGCUUCUCCAUGUACCUACUAACCAAUCCGACUGCAUACAUGAUAUCCGGACGAGUAAAAGUUAGGUACCUCAAACUUCCAACCAAACUUUUGAACAAUGUCGGAUUUACCGACUCCCUCGUUGAAUCAAUUCUGAGCUUUAUGCUUGCUUCUGCAGGCGUGCUCACUGGCUUGCAUUCCUCCAUUCUGAACUUCUUUAAAAUUUGCUGUGCAUAUUUUUUCUGACCAUAAAAAUCCCGUCUUUGCUUUGCUUCACCUCGACUCCAAGAAAGUAUGACAUUUGACCAAUAUCUGUCAUCUCAAAUUCAUUAGUCAUAACUUUCUUAAAAUCAUCAAACAUACCGGGGUUGUUUCCGGUAAAUAUCAUGUCGUCCACAUAUAAGCAAACGAUCAUAAUAUCUCCCCCUGAAUUUGUUUUUGUGUAGAGUGCAUGCUCAUAUGGACUCUUUACAAAACCAUUUUUCUGAAAAUACUCAUCAACCCUUGUGUUCCAUGCUCUCGGGGCUUGUUUUAGGCCGUACAAUGCUUUCUUUAGCCGGUAGACUUUAUCUUCCUGGCCUUUCUGAACAUAUCCUGGAGGUUGCUCGAUGUAUACUUCUUCUUCGAGAUAACCAUUUAGAAAUGCUGACUUCACAUCCAUUUGAAAAAUCUUCCAUUGAUUCUGAGCGGCAAUUGCUGUAAGAAGUCUGAUGGUGUCAACUCGUGUAACUGGAGCAAACACCUCAUCAUAGUCAAUUCCGUAUCUUUGCUUGUAGCCUUUAGCCACCAACCUUGCCUUGUAUUUUUCCACUUCUCCGUCUUGAUUUGUUUUUGUCUUGUAGACCCAUUUGACACCAAUUGCUUUGUGUCCUUCUGGAAGAUCUGUGAGCUCCCAAGUAUCAUUCUUCUUAAUUGCACCAAUUUCCUCAUCCAUGGCUUUGUUCCAUUUGCUUUCUUCAGAAGCUUCCUCAAAUGUAACUGGAUCACAUUCAGCCAUUAAACAAAACAACGAAUAAUCAAAGGUUGUUUGUACCGGACUUGUAGCUUCGUAGAUAUCAUCCAGACUCCGCAUUUUUCUAGUUGCUCCCCCUGAACUUCUGCUUCCACUUGAAUCAGAUGGUGUUGAUGCGGGAGUUUGUUGAUUCGCACUUUGUGGAGGAGUUUGAUCAUCAUCCUCGUCAGCUUCUAUGUUGGGGUCAUCAUUGCCAUCAUCAUCAUCAUUAAAAAAUAACCCAGCAACUUUUCUUUCCUCCUCGUUCCAUCUCCAGUAAUCUAAUUCAUCAAACUCAACAUCUCGAGAAAUGAUUAAUUUCUUCGUCAGGGGAUUAUAGAGUCUGUACGCCUUGCUCCUUUUGUCAUAGCCGGAAAAUAUGCACUUCUCGCCUUUAUCAUCUAACUUCUUUCUUUUCUGAUCAGGAACAUGGGCAUAUGCAAUACACCCAAAAAUUCUGAGAUGUCCAACUGAUGGUUUGCUACCACUCCAUGCUUCAUUUGGAGUUUUGUUUCUGACGCUUUUUGUUGGACAGCGAUUCAACAAAUAAACGGCACAUAAAACGGCUUCGGCCCAAAAGGUUCUCGGCAAGUGCUUUGCUUUCACCAUGCUCCUUGCCAUGUCAAGAAUAGUGCGAUUCUUUCUUUCUGCAACGCCAUUUUGUUGAGGAGUAUAGGCCGUUGUCAACUGAUGAUUGAUUCCAUGUGCUCUGCAAAAACUUCUGAACAGAUUAGAAGUAUACUCGCCUCCUCUGUCUGAUCUGAGUACCUUCAAAUAAUGACCACUUUGCUUUUCUGCCAGUGCUUUGAACUCCUUGAAUUUAUCAAGAGCUUCCGACUUUUCUUUGAUGAUAUACACCCAACUUUUCCUACUAAAAUCAUCAAUAAAUGUUAGGUAAUAUCUAUUACCUCCAAGUGAUGAGAUAUCAAAUGGACCGACAAUAUCUGUAUGAACAAUCUCCAAUGACCUCCUGGCUCUCCAUGAUUUUCCAACGGGAAAACUUUGUCGAUGUUGCUUCCCCUUUACACACGCUUCACACAGAAUUUCUCGUUCUUUGAUUUCUGGCAAACCGUCCACCAUUUUUGUCUUUGACAAUAAUUUCAGGCCAGAAAAUCCAAGAUGACCAUAUCUCAAGUGCCACAACCACGAGUCAUUUUUAAUGACCGACUUUAAGCACUUUUGCACCUUCGUUUGCAUAUCAAGCGUAAACAAACGAUUCUUUGACAUCUCCACAUUUGCAAUCAAUUCCCGAGCUUGAUUUCUGAUAAUGAGGGGAUUGUCCUGCAUCUGUAUAUUAUAUCCUUUCUCCACAAGUUGGCCAAGACUGAUAAUAUUAUUUUUCAAAGCAGGAAUAUAAUAAACAUCAUUUAUAUAUUUCUUUUCACCUUUCUUUGUCAUGAUCGUGACGGUACCUUUUCCUUUGACCGGAAUCUUUGACGAGUCACCAAAAGUAACUUCUCCGCUGAUGGUGUCGUCUAUCUCCGUGAAUAAUUCCUUAUGACCAGUCAUGUGAUUGCUGGCUCCCGAGUCAAGAUACCAUGUAUUUUUCUUGCCUCCUUCAUCUCCUUUGUAAGUGAGAAACAUAGCAGAGCCAACAUCUUUAUCUUCUUUUGCUUCAGCAAAAUGACUUCUUUCUUCCUGCUUUGAUGCUCUACACUCAAAACUGAAAUGGCCAUAUUUAUUACAAUUAUAGCACUGAUAUUGAGACUUGUCACCUCGUUGUUGAAAUCCACCUCGUCCUCGGCCUCUGAAAUUUUGUCCACGACCAGAUGGCUGAUAGCCUUCAGAAUUCUGGCCUCUAUUGAAGGACUGUCUUCCUCGUCCUCGUCCACUACGGUAGCCACCUCUAAAGCCACCUCUGCCACGUGCAGAACUGCUACUGCUAGAACUGUCACCAAUGGACACCUUACUUUGCAACGCCUUUUCCAAAUGGCUUGCAUCAUCAUACUGGUUCAUUCGCUGCUCGUGGGCUUCAAGAGAACCUACGAGCUCAUCAAUAGAAAUUGUGGACAAGUCUUUUGACUCCUCGAUGGAUGUCACAACAUAAUAAAAUUUUCUUGUUNUUUUCUUGUUAAUGAACGGAGCAAUUUUUCCAUGACCCGAACAUCAUCGAGACUUUCUCCAUUUCUUUUCAUCUCAUUUGUCACCGUUUUUAAACGCAUAACAAAUUCACCAAUAUUUUCUGAACUCUUCAUCUUUAAAUUUUCGAACUCUCCAUGUAGAACUUGGAGCCGCACCUUUUUGACUUUCUCGACACCCUGGAAUGAUUUCUGCAGAAUCUCCCACGCGUCUUUCGCCGUUUUUGCAUUUGAAUUUUUUUUAAAAGUUGAUUCAUCAACUCCUUGAAUAAUUGUAUAUAACGCCCUUUGGUCUUUUUUCUUGGAAUCUUUAAACGCCGUUUUCUCCGCAUCAGAAAGAACAGCUUCAUCCUCGGGCUCGUCAAACCCACUUUCGACAAUAUCCCAAUUAUCGUAUGAACCGAGUAACACCUUCAUUUGGAUACUCCAGUUCCCGUAAUUUGUUGCCGUCAACCUCGGGAUUUGUGGUUGCACCAUCAUAUUUGACAUUUUUUCUUCUCCGAAAUAACCUAGCUCUGAUGCCACUUGUUGGAAACGAAAUGGACCUUAUAAGUAUUUAAACACACGCAAUAUUAAUAUGUAUAGGCUGUUAAAAAACAAACACACACUUUUUAUUUCACCAACUCAAAGCUACAGCUUGAUUAGAGCUUCGGCUAUUCUGUUUUCUUUUCUGGUUUUCAAACUCAGUACAAUUCAGUUUAUUGAACACAAAUAGAACCUCUAUUUAUAAGCCACGCAUAUGCUAACUGAUCUUAUUGCCUACACUACCCAGCUGUAUGUAUUAAUUUAGCCACCUUAAUUCAUGGGAUCAAAUUUCUAUUCAAACUAGGACAGCAACAUUUCUUCAGAUGAUCUACACGGUUUCAUUAAUACAUCUGACUUGCAUGUUGACAACUCCACAAUUCAAACCAAGCUGCUGCAUCACCACUUUAUCACCUGCUUGUCACCAGCUUGUCACCUUUGUAAAUAGCCUACCAUAUAUCCUGGAUUCAACAUAUGACCAGCUGCUGCAUUAACUAGUAUUCCUUGUUUCACAUGGCUGCCUUCCUUUAAUUAAUCUAGCAUAGUUAUACAUCCUGUCAACAUUGAGCCGUAUUGUUUUGACCGUGCAUGCAUGAAGAUAAGUAGCACACCAUAAUUCCACGAUGGCUCAUGUCAAGCUGAUAUUAUAUUCUGGAGAGUUUGAAAAAUCUAACACUCCCCCUCAAACUCGACUUUGCAUUCCGAGCUUCUUUUUCAUUUUCUGAAACACAUCUUGCUUCAAUGACUUUGUAAAAAUAUCUGCUAGAUCUUCUUCUGUCCUGCAGUGCACCAAUUCCACGAUUUUAUCGUUCACUUGUUCACGAAGAAAAUGAUAUUUAAUGUUGAUGUGCUUGCUUCGACUAUGUGACACCGGAUUUUUCACAAGUGAAAUAGUGGAUUUAUUAUCCACAUAAAUAGUAACCGGUUCUUCUUUGACAAGAUUUAACUCGCCCAAAAUAUAGCUUAAACAAAUAGCCUGACAUGCGCACGCUACUGCUGCGAUGUAUUCUGCCUCACAUGUUGAGAGAGCGACUGUUUGUUGCUUCUUUGAUGACCAUGAAAAUAUUGCUGAGCCAAUAUGAAAAGCAUAUCCCGAAGUGCUUUUCCCAUCAUCUAAAUCUCCACCGUAAUCACUAUCUGAGUAGCCAACUAAUUUUGAAUCUUGAGAAUGCGUGUAAAACAAACCAUUAUUAAGUGUACCUUUAAUAUAUCUCAAAAUUCUUUUAGCUUCCAUGAAAUGAUCCUGCUUCGGCUUCUCCAUGUACCUACUAACCAAUCCGACUGCAUACAUGAUAUCCGGACGAGUAAAAGUUAGGUACCUCAAACUUCCAACCAAACUUUUGAACAAUGUCGGAUUUACCGACUCCCUCGUUGAAUCAAUUCUGAGCUUUAUGCUUGCUUCUGCAGGCGUGCUCACUGGCUUGCAUUCCUCCAUUCUGAACUUCUUUAAAAUUUGCUGUGCAUAUUUUUUCUGACACAUAAAAAUCCCGUCUUUGCUUUGCUUCACCUCGACUCCAAGAAAGUAUGACAUUUGACCAAUAUCUGUCAUCUCAAAUUCAUUAGUCAUAACUUUCUUAAAAUCAUCAAACAUACCGGGGUUGUUUCCGGUAAAUAUCAUGUCGUCCACAUAUAAGCAAACGAUCAUAAUAUCUCCCCCUGAAUUUGUUUUUGUGUAGAGUGCAUGCUCAUAUGGACUCUUCACAAAACCAUUUUUCUGAAAAUACUCAUCAACCCUUGUGUUCCAUGCUCUCGGGGCUUGUUUUAGGCCGUACAAUGCUUUCUUUAGCCGGUAGACUUUAUCUUCCUGGCCUUUCUGAACAUAUCCUGGAGGUUGCUCGAUGUAUACUUCUUCUUCGAGAUAACCAUUUAGAAAUGCUGAC
rnacentral:lncRNA from 1 species